rnacentral:piRNA from 1 species
UAGAUAGAGCCUCUCCAUGAAAGUGAUUG